GGAACCGUCAUGGGGCCUUGGAGUCGAGUCAGGGUUGCCAAAUGCCAGAUGCUGGUCACCUGCUUCUUUAUCUUGCUGCUGGGCCUCUCUGUGGCCACCAUGGUGACUCUUACCUACUUCGGGGCCCACUUUGCUGUCAUCCGCCGAGCAUCCCUGGAGAAGAACCCGUACCAGGCUGUGCACCAAUGGGCCUUCUCUGCGGGGUUGAGCCUGGUGGGCCUCCUGACUCUGGGAGCCGUGCUGAGCGCUGUAGCCACCGUGAAGGAGGCCCAGGGCCUCAUGGCGGGGGGCUUCCUGUGCUUCUCCCUGGCGUUCUGCACACAGGUGCAGGUGGUGUUCUGGAGACUCCACAGCCCCACCCAGGUGGAGGACGCCAUGCUGGACACCUACGACCUGGUAUAUGAGCAGGCGAUGAAAGGCACGUCCCACGUCCGGCGGCAGGAGCUGGCGGCCAUCCAGGACGUGUUUCUGUGCUGUGGGAAGAGGUCUCCUUUCAGCCGUCUGGGGAGCACAGAGGCUGACCUGUGUCAGGGAGAGGAGGCGGCGAGAGAGGACUGCCUUCAGGGCAUCCGGAGCUUCCUGAGGACACACCAGCAGGUCGCCUCCAGCCUGACCAGCAUCGGCCUGGCCCUCACGGUACCCUGUCGCCUCCCUCACUGCCCCUUCCCACCUCCUGCCCCUCGGCCUGCCCAGCCCCCGACUCAGAUGGAAGGGUAACCCGGGACAGGAUCUCUGGUCUUGAGCCUCACUGGCUGCCAACCUCAUGGAGCUGCUCUGGUGUGACAGUGCCUGCCUCCUACAGCUGGGCCGCCCCCUUACACUGCGGAGUCCUGAUGCUUCCUGGGGAGGGGUGCCCGCACCCUGGAGCAGUGGGGUAGCCGUGGGUGUCUCCCUCCCAGGUGUCCGCCUUGCUCCUCAGCUCCUUCCUGUGGUUUGCCAUCCGCUGUGGCUGCAGCUUGGACCGCAAGGGCAAAUACACCCUGACCCC
rnacentral:sRNA from 1 species